rnacentral:lncRNA from 1 species
CAAAUCUUAAACAUGCUUAAGAUUUGUCUUUCUUUCCAACUACAUCUUAUGGAGUUAUGAAAAUUUUUGGAAGAUCUUCUAAUUGACAAUCAUAUUGUUUUAGAAGUAUAUAUCCUAUAUAUGGGUAAUAGAUAACAUCUAACGAACUAAAUCUUAUUUUAGUUCGUUCUUCUCCUAAUGGAGAAAUACAUUAUCUUAUGAUGCUAUUUUCCUUGAUAUCUUUCAAGGAAACUCAUUUCUAAAGUGUUACCUUUCCUUGGAUCAAAUCUAAGGAGGUAAAUACUUUAGAUGUCUUACUCAUCAACUU